rnacentral:rRNA from 1 species
UUGAUCCUGGCUCAGGACGAACGCUGGCGGCGUGCCUAAUACAUGCAAGUCGAACGCGUCUCCGUUGAUGAUUUUAGGUGCUUGCACCUGAAAGAUUUAACAUUGAGACGAGUGGCGAACUGGUGAGUAACACGUGGGUAACCUGCCCUUGAAGUAGGGGAUAACACUUGGAAACAGGUGCUAAUACCGUAUAACAACCAAAACCACCUGGUUUUGGUUUAAAAGACGGCUUCGGCUGUCACUUUAGGAUGGACCCGCGGCGUAUUAGCUUGUUGGUAAGGUAACGGCCUACCAAGGCGAUGAUACGUAGCCGACCUGAGAGGGUAAUCGGCCACAUUGGGACUGAGACACGGCCCAAACUCCUACGGGAGGCAGCAGUAGGGAAUCUUCCACAAUGGACGAAAGUCUGAUGGAGCAACGCCGCGUGAGUGAUGAAGGGUUUCGGCUCGUAAAACUCUGUUGUUGGAGAAGAACAGGUGUCAGAGUAACUGUUGACAUCUUGACGGUAUCCAACCAGAAAGCCACGGCUAACUACGUGCCAGCAGCCGCGGUAAUACGUAGGUGGCAAGCGUUGUCCGGAUUUAUUGGGCGUAAAGCGAG